rnacentral:rRNA from 1 species
CAGUCGCCGCGGUAAUACGGAGGGUGCAAGCGUUAAUCGGAAUUACUGGGCGUAAAGCGUGCGUAGGUGGUGGUUUAAGUCCGUUGUGAAAGCCCUGGGCUCAACCUGGGAAUUGCAGUGGAUACUGGGUCACUAGAGUGUGGUAGAGGAUAGUGGAAUUUCCGGUGUAGCAGUGAAAUGCGUAGAGAUCGGAAGGAACAUCUGUGGCGAAGGCGACUAUCUGGGCCAACACUGACACUGAGGCACGAAAGCGUGGGGAGCAAACAGGAUUAGAUACCCGCGUAGUCCCUGUCUCUUAUAC